CAAGUGGAGGUGUAAACAGACCAUAGCCUACACUUGUGCCAAUCACUGAGUUUUGGCCAAUCAUAUGUAGCUAACUGUUUGAACUGUGUUCAAGUUAGGCAAACAUUGAGCUGUAACCAAUCUGGCUGUUUCUGUACCUCACUUCUGUUUUCUGUAUGUUACUUUUCUUUUUCUGUCCAUAAACUUUCUUCCACCACGCAGCUGUGCUGGAGACUUUGAGCAUACUCUGGCUUGGGAGGCUGCCCGAUUUGUGAAUUGUUUAUUGCGCAAUUAACCUCAUUUAAAAUUUAUUCGGCUGAAGUUUUUCUUUUAUCAGGUGGUGUCAGAAGUGGGGUUGGAAGUAGAGCUUCUAAUGACCCCCAGAAGUGCUGAGUGACCUAGCGAGGUACCCUCCAGGCCCAUUGUGUCUCUUUCUCUCUCGGAGCAGCUGGGGAUCGUGUGUAUUUUCACCAGGUAAAGAAAGCUUUUUAUGGUUCACUGACUGAGGACAAUCAACCCCUUCACAAUCUAGAACCUGAAGAUUGGAUCUUCUGAGAACAUCAGAGAAAGACUGCCCUUGCCAUCCACACUGCAGUAAACAUCAGAACCGUGAACUUUGGCUUCAUGAUCUCACAACUGAGAAGGAUCCCUCCACAUUCUUGGAAAUAUACACCCAUUGGAACCCGUAAGCAGACCAUGUGUCAACGUAUGCAGAGUUUGUGCAGACACACAGACCCUCUGGGGAGUAUAUGUUUGAAUCUGAU
rnacentral:lncRNA from 1 species